CAGGAAGUUACCCAAUCCAGUCUAAAAGGGGGAGACAUGAAGAAUUCAUCCCUUUUAGCAUCUAAUCAAGAAAUAACCAUAAAAAUAUGCAACCAGCAGCCCUCGGGGCUGCUCUGUCUAUGGAGUAGCCAUUCUUUUAUUCCUUUACUUUCUUAAUACACUUGCGUUCACUUUACUCUGUGGACUGACACUGAAUUCUUUUCUGUGUGAGAUCUAAGAACUCUCUCUUGGGGUCUGGAUUGGGAUCCCUUUUCCAGUAGCAGUAUGACCAUGGGAAAGAGAUGAAUCUCUUGGAGCCUCAGUAUGUCAGUCUGUAAAAUGAAAUCAUGAUACUGUUUUCACAGCACUGCAGUGAGGCAUUAAAUAACACGAUAUAGGAGCUCAAUGAGUGUUAGCUUCUUUCUUUUUUCUCCUGUUCCUUCCUUCCUUUCAUUUCCUCCUAGUUUUAGCUCUAUCCAGCAAAGAUAUUGAAAUCAGCCAUUAAAAAAGUACACAAUGACAGGGCCCAGUUCCUGGAUUCAGGGGUUGGGCACUUGGGGCAGGCAGUGAAGUCCCAGGCAGGAAACUGAGGGAGACUUUCAUCUGAGCUGCAGCAACUUGGAAUAUUGGGGCAGUCUGCACUAUUUUCACACACAACACUUCUUGCUCUAAAUGUGUGAGUGUUUUCCACACCAACAACUAGUCCUUCCACUCUCUGGAUACCACCUGGGUGUCCUACAAUUCAACUGAAUUCUGACACUACCCACCCAGGGUUAGUGCAGACCCUACAGGCUAAGGGCUCAGUCCCACAAGACUACCCCCACUUCAGAUGCCAGUCGCAAGUUCCCUUGCCACCUGUAUUUCUGACCCACCUGCUAUAAAUUGGGGGUUCCCAUGACCCCUUCCGAAUGUUUGAUAAUUUGCUAGAACCGUUCACAGAACUUAAGAAAAUGCUUUGCCUACGUUUACUGGUUUGUUAUACUGGGUGCAACUAGGAUGAGCCAGAUGGAAGAGAUGUACAGGGUGAGGUAUGGGAGAAACGGGUGUGUGAUGCUCCAUGCCUUCCCCACCACACAUCACCCUCCACCUACCCAGAACCUUGAUGUGUUCAGCCACUCGAAAGUUCUCCAAACCCUGUCAUUUAGGGGUUUUAAUGGAGGCUGUAGUAUGUAGGCGUGGUUGAUUAAAUCAUUGACCUUUGGUGAUUGGACUCAAUCUUCAGCCCCUCCCUGUACCCAGGAAACUGAGGGGUGGGGCUGAAAAUUCCAGCCCUUUUGAUCACAUUGAUGGUUCUUCUGGCAACCAGGUCCUGAAGUUAUCUUGGUACCCACCAAGUGGCUUCUUUAGCAUAAACUCAGCUAUUAUGGUUGAAAUGGUCCUAUAAGAAACAACAAAAGAUGCUCCUCUCACCCUAUCAUUUAGGAAGUUCCGAGGGUUUUAAGAGUUUUGUGCCAGGAACCACGAACAAAGAGUAUUACCACAGGCAUGCAGGCAUGGAAGCUAGUUGCAACAAGGAAAGGGAAAACUUGGCAAAAGCUUUGUCCCAUGGCCUAGACUAAUCCAGUAGGUACAAGGAUCAUGCCUAGGUGUUACAGGAAAGGGGUCCCAAUCCAGACCCCCAAGAGAGGGUUCUUGAAUCUCGCACAAGAAAGAAUUCGAGGUGAGUUCAUACAGUGAAAGCAAGUUUAUUAAGACAGUAAAGGAAUAAAAGAAUGGCUACUCCCUAGGCAGAGCAUUCUCAAGAGCUUCUGGUUGCCCAUUUUUAUGGUUAUUUCUUGAUUAUAUGCUAAACAAGAGGUUGAUUCUUCAUGAGUUUUCACAGUAAGGAGUGGACAACUCCCAGAACUGAGGGUUCUUAGCCUUUUUAGACCAUAUAGGGUAAUUUCCUGAUGUUGCCAUGGCAUCUGUAAACUGUCACAGCACUGGUGGGAGUGUCUUUUAGCAUGCUAAUAUAUUGUAACUAGCUUAUAAUGAGCUGUGAGGAUGACCAGAGGUCACUCUUGUCACCAUCUUGGUUUUGAUGGGUUUUGGCCGGCUUCUUAACUGCAACCUGUUUUAUCAGUAAGGUCUUUAUGAUCUGUAUCUUGUGCCAACCGUCUAUCUCAUUCUGUGACUAGGAAUGCCUUAACCUCUUGGGAAUGCAGCCCAGUAAGUCUAAGCCUCAUUCUACCCAGCCUGUUUUCAAGAUGGAGUCAUUCUUGUUCUAAUACCUCUGACACAGAGAUUGCAAAAGGUUGCAGGACUCCACCUGGUGUCCUGGCUCCUGGAUUUGACAGACAGCUGAGGAACCUGGACUAGGGUGUAGGGUGGGGUUGUUACUGGUGGGUUCUGCAGUACAGGUGGUUCAUCACUUUCUUUCUCUGAGAAUGUGACUUUCACACCCCCAUGGAUGCCAAUCUAAUCAGAAAUGUCUCAGGUGCUGGGAUAAUGCAGGGAGACUGUGAGUGGAGCAUCAGCAAGUAGCAGAUAAUCCAACUCAAGCUUAGUUGACACCAGGGGAGGGAUCAACUGGGCAUGAGACUAAGGCUCCCAGUGGGAAGAUAGGCACAGCAGGUGCUAGCCAAGCCACCACACAAGGACAUUAGGACUAGUCUCUCUCUCCAUCCUUCUUCUGCUCUCCUCUGUGCUGGCUUCAUUCUAAGGAUGACUCUCACUUCACGGUUGCCAAGCUUUUAUCCUGCUGGCCUUGGAGGUCUUGCAAACAGAGAGGGCUCAUUCCUUGCAGACUCACUAAAGUCUCAGGGAGGAUUGCAUGGGUUCAGCUGCUAUCCUGGCCCCUGAACCAAUCACCAGGCUGUCUUCUCCACUGUAUCUUCCCAAUUCCCCUUGGCACAUGCAAAUCAAUCUAUAUAAAUAGACCCUAGGCAGCUUCUGGCCCCGCCAACUCAUUAUUUAUGCAUAAGCAAGUCUGAAUCUUUGUUUAGGCUGAGCUACAGGACCAGGUAAGCACCCGUAGGCUUGCAUGCAGGCAUAUGCGUGCACACACACAGUUGCACACGUAUACAAGCACGCACAUAUCCAGAAGCAAGCAUAGCGCUCUCAGUCAAUCAUGUGUAAAAUGUCAGCCUGGCCUUCCUGUGAGUGUUUAGAAACAGUCUGAAGAGCCCUUGACGAGAGAAGUUGUCGUGGGUUUUGUUUCCUGUAAAAGCUUCUGUCAGUAAGCCUGGCAUGUUGUUUUUUUUUCCUUCAGACAAUGAGAGUCUUCUUUCUGUAGACAGAGGAAAACAAACACAUGUCCGUUUAUUAGGUAUGUAAAGUAACAUAACUGCAGGCAUAUUGUGUUUGGGGAAUCAGCCUGGCUUUGCCGCACGGCCAUAUGAAGCUGUUUGAAAACCCUGGUUUGUGCUAGACUCUUUGGCCCAAUCUCCCUUUUGUUUGGAGAAAGAAGGAUGUGCCUCUUUUCCUAUCCAGUACCGAGAUGCCAGCCCCCCUCCCCAACUGUAAACCACAAAACGCAGUAUUUAUCAUAUUCCCUAUUCUAAAUAUAUACUGGCAUUAGCCUUUGAUUCAAUAGUAACUACCAAUUACUAGCACCAAGUACCGGGCUUUAUUCGAAGCAUUGUACAUCAAAUUAACCAAUUGAACUCUUUACCAAUCCUAUAAGGUAGAUUUUAUUAUUACAAAUCCAUUUUGUAGCUGAAGAAACUGAGGCACAGGAGAUUAAGCUACUUUGCCAACAAAAGCAGCAAAGAUGGGACUUCAACCCAGGCCAUCUCGCUCUAGUGUUGGGGCUGUUAAAUGCCAUGCUGUAAUGCCCUGCAUAGUGGAGGGGGGGUGUCCUUCCAAUAUCCAGGGGUCUAGAGAUGGCUUUUCCCUAAAACGACAUCCUUCCCGGUAUUUCUAGGUAGACGCGAUGAGACAGAAAAUGUCAGCUGAACCUGGCAGCCUCAAGCAGUGAGUGAUUUUCUUCCUCGUGUGCCUCUUCCCAAUUUCAUCUUUAGUCAGAACAGCUCCGAAGAAAUCCUUGAGCUUAUGCAACCACUUCUUGGAAACUCCAGUGGUCCCAUUUUCCAGUUUUCUAAUACAGGCAUUUUCACAUCAUCACCAGAUGCUGGGCUGUUAGCGAGUAAUAUUGCCUUGGGAGGCUUUGCCUGUUAAGAAAUUGCUUGAAGUGUCCUUUCUCUUUCCUGUGAAAUUUUAAAUCAUCAUUUACAUGGAGCCCUGACAGCAUUUUUCAGGGCCUCUUUCAUUUACUUGGGCUUCUUGAUUGCUCUGAAGGUCCCAGCUGCCCCCUGCGCAGGUUCUGGGAGCCCAGGCCGACUCUGUCACAGAGAUUCCGAUUCACAGAAUCCAGGAGCAAGGUGGAAGGACCCUUAAGAGUCUCCCAAUGUAGCCUUUUAUUCAUUCUGUCCUACAGCAUUUUUAGUAGUUGAAUCUUUUAUUCCAACCAAAUUUUACGUAAGAUAGAUGAAAGUCAAGCCCUUCAGGUUACAGGCAUGCCAGGGAGCUAAUAGUGCUGUCCUGCUUAGCACCAAGUCCCAUCCUGUAUUAGUCUGUUCUCACACUGCUGAUAAAGACACAGGGGUAAUUUAUAAAGGAAAGAGGUUUAAUGAACUCACAGUUCCACAUGCCUGGGGAAGCCUCACAAUCAUGGUGGAAGGCGAAGGAGGAGCAAAGACAUGUCUUACAUGGCGACAGGCAAGAGAGUGUGCGCAGGGGAACUGCCCUUUAUAAAACCAUCAGAUUUCAUGAGACUUAUUCACUAUCAUGAGAAUAGCACAGGAAAGACCCACCCCCAUGACUCAGUUACCUCCCACUGGGUCCCUCCCAUGACACGUGGGAAUUGUGGGAGCUACAAUUCAAGUAACAAGCUACAGUUCAAAUAACAGAUAUUUGAGUGGGGACACAGGCAAACCAUAUCACACUCUCACCCUCCACCCUCCUAAUUCCUAACCUAUCUGUCCCUCCAGGGAGGCCUUUUGCAGCAUCUCUUGUGGAUCUCUGCAUUGCCCCAUUUAAAACAACGAUGCUGUAGGUUCUAGGCUUCCUGCUUCUCCAUGGCCCCAGCAUCAUGCAGCUUCCCAGGGCAGGGCCUCCUGCCUGGCUAAGUAGACUCUCCUCACCUGGCUCUCAAUCUCUAGUCUUGCCCAGCUCUCAUCUGCUUGUCACACCAAAGCCACGAGGAUCCUUCUAAACUACAAACUGGGCUGUGUCACAUGCCUAUUUAAAAUCCUCCUUCCUGGCUGGGCACAGUGACUCAUGCUUGUAAUCCCAGCACUUUGGGAGGCCCAGGCAGGAGGGUCACUUGAGGUCAGGAGUUCAAGACCAGCCUGGCCAAUAUGGUGAAACCCCAUCUCUACUAAAAAUAUAAAAAUUAGCCAGGCGUGGUGGUGGGCACCUCUAAUCCCAGCUACUUAGGAGGCUGAGACAGGAGAAUUGCUUGAACCCAGGAGGUGGAGUUUGCAGUGAGCUGAGAUCAUGCCACUGCACUCCAGCCUGGGUGACAGAGCAAGCCUCUGUCUCAAAAAUAAAUAAAUAAAUAACCCUCCUUCCCAUAGUGGGAGGGUGUGUGAGAGGUGGGGAUGGUUAAUAGAUACAAAAAACAUAGUUAGAAAGGAUGAAUAAGACCUAGUAUUUGAUAGCACAACAGGGUGACUAUAGUCAACAAUAAUAGAAUUAUACAUUUGAAAAUAAGUAAAAGAGAUUAAUUGGGUUGUUUGUAACACAAAGGAUAAACGUUCGAGGAGAUGAAUGCCCCAUUUUCCAUGAUGUGAUUUUUAUGCAUUGCAUACCUAUAUUCAAAUACCUCAUGUACCCAUAAACAUGUACACCUAUUAUGUACCUACACAAAUUAAAACAAAACAUUAAAAAAUAAAGUAAGUUAAAAAAAUAAAUAAAGUCUCCCUUCCCUGUUGUUUCUCAAUGACCUGAGGGUAAAGUUCGAGCCACUUGGUAAAGUGUAAAAGACCCGUCUUAUCUGACUGCUGUCUUAUCUGACUGCUGUCUUAUCUGGGCUGCUGCUUGACUGUCUAGUUUCAUCUGUUGACGAUAAGUUCUACGUCCAGCUGGAUGGAACUGGGAGCUGGACAUUUGAUGUGUUAUGCUUGUUCUGCUUAGGGUGAGCCUGAGCUGGGAAACCCUUCCCCCUCGCUCCCUGCACCUUACUCACCUCAGCUUGUCUUCACCCACUAACUUCUCCCACCUCUUCUUCCACAUCAGGAGCCUGUCCCUCCCCUUUUCCCAGAUCCUUAUGGCUUUCUCAGUCACUGCAUGGAUCCUGCCUAUGUUAGAAUUGCUUGUUUUCUUCUCUGUGGCCCUCACUUAACUAAUCUCUGUGAGGGCAGUGAGCAUGUCCAUCUUGGUCCCUGCUGUAUUCUCAACGCGCAGUAAUGCUUUGCAAAGAAAAGAUGCUCAGAAAGUAUUUGCUGAACAUAUAAAUGGGAGCUGGUUUCAGUGGCUCAUGCCUUUAAUCCCAACAGUUUGGGAAGCUGAGGCAGGAGGAUCAUUUGAGGUCAGGAGUUUGAGACUAGCCUGGGCAACAUAGUGAGACCCUGUCCGUACAAAAACCUUAAGAAGAAGAUUAGCUGGGCAUGAUGGUAUGCACUUGUAGUCCCAGUUACUCGAGAAGAUGAGGCAGGAGGAUCACUUGAGCCCAGGAGUUUGAGGCUGCAGUGCGCAAUGAUCCUACUGCACCACUACACCCUAGCCUGUGUGACAGAGCCAGACCCUGUCUCUAAAAGAGAAGCAGCAACAAUAAAAACAUAAAAAUAAAAAUUACUCUUGCUCUGGACCCCAUCCAGUGAUUUCCAGGCUCCUUCAACCUUUUUCAACAGUUCCUGACUUUUAUCAGCUUGACCAUUACUUGUGAUUCCUUUGUCUGUCUGCAGACCUUUCCAGUAACCUCCAGGUUCCCUGAAGGUCCCACAAUUUGCUUUUCCUUCCCUAGUCAGGACCGUCCAGACAUACUCCAUGCUUUCUUCCUUGUGGGGAUGACAUGAUCCCCAGCUCCAUGAGAGCAGAGAUCUUCUGCGUCUUGCCCAUUGUGGUGUUCUAGUGCUUGGCACUUAGUAGGUGCUCAGUAAACAUUUGUUGAAUGAAUUUUUAAAAAUCAGUCGUGCAAUCCAUGGACAACAGAAGCUUGAGCUCAUCUCUGCCAGUGGAUAUGAACAGAUGUGUCCUUACCCCCUUUGGGCUACUCAUGGAACUGCUUUUGGGUUAAAAUGUUGCCAGGGCAUAACUGCUUCUCUUGCAAUCUCUUCUGAUGGAUUUAGGUUCUAGCUCUGAUUCUCUGGACCUGGGAGAGGGGUCCUUAUGUCUCAUCCGCUAUGUCUUUCCUCAUUCUCCUUUCAGCAGCUACAAGAUAGGCCAUUCAAGAAGCCACCACUCCCUGCAAGAGGAGAGAUUUCAGCUCUUAGGAGAAUUUAUUGCAGAGAUUAGAUGCUGCCAAACCCUUCAAUAUCAGCUCCCAUCUAAACACAGGCUCAGAGAUAGGAAUGAAUUCAAGUUGUCUGUUUAGAAGACUUUUGCAGGCUUCAGGAAGCCACUGCCUGUCAUGGAAGAUUGAUUCACAGGAAUAUGGCAAGGAAGCCCGGGCAUUCAGUGACAAGGCACAUCUUUGCCAAGUGUCUUGGCACAUCUUUGCCAAGUGUCUCAAAUAGCCUGGGAACAAAAUUCACCAAGGGGAAGAUGGUGCUGUCCCCUUGGUUUACAUGUUGGAGGUGUGAGUCUUUGCAACUUCCUGACAACAAGGCUUCCUAGUUCCCAUUUAAAAUCAAGUCAGUUUUAUAAAGCAUUAACAUGAUGAGAUGCAUUAAGCUAAAGAGUGCCUUUUAAGAAUAAUAGCAAAUAAUUUAUAAUGGAUGCAUCAGCUUUAGUAAAAAGUUUUUUUUUGGUGACAAAAUAAAAUCAUACAUAAAAGGCAAGUAAGACAGUUUCACUUUAAUAGGGUGCCCAAGUGGAGUAAAAAAAAAUGUCAAAGCCAAAGUGUUUGUAGGAGUGAAAGAUUCUCAAGAGAAAGUAAGAUGAGACAUCAAACGAAUUGGCUUUGGUAGAAGACAGGUCUAGGCUGCAAAAACAACCUGGAUAGCUUGCUUGCUUGCUUUCUUGCUUUCUUGCUUGCUUGCUUUCUUGCUUGCUUUCUUUCUUGCUUUCUUUCUUGCUUGCUUGCUUGCUUGCUUGCUUUCCUUCUUUCUUUCUUUCUUUCUUUCUUUCUUUCUUUCUUUCUUUCUUUCUUUCUUUCUUUCUUUCUUUCUUUCUUUCUUUCUUUUUUUUCUUUGAGAUGGAGUUUGCUCUUGUUGCUCAGGCUGGAGAGUGCAAUUGUGCAGUCUCAGCUCACUGCAACCUCUCCGCUUCCCAGGUUCAAGCAAUUCUCCUGCCUCAGGCUCCCGAGUACCUGGGAUUACAGGGGUGUGCCACUGUACCCAGCUGAUUUUUGUGUUUUUAGUAGAGAUGAGGUUUCACCAUGUUGGCCAGGCUGGUCUUGAACUCCUGACCUCAGGGCAUCCACCCACCUGGGCCUCCCAAAGUGCCGGAUUAUAGGCGUGAGCCACUGCACCUGGCCCACAAUGUGGACAGCUUCUGAUUGUGACCCCCAAAAUCACGGGUCUUGGUUGAGUCUGUUUCCACAUCUGAACUUCAGUUUAGGGAUACUGCAGUGUACUUCUGCUGGAUUUGCCCCUACAGUAUUCCUCUGGGGAAACAACCCUACUCCACUCAUCCUCCCACAAGAAGUCACUUCUUGGCCAGGCACGGUGGCUCACGCCUGUAAUCUCAGCACUUUGAGAGGCUGAGGCGGGUGGAUCACAAGGUCAGGAGUUUGAGACCAGCCUGAUCAACAUGGUGAAACCCCACCUCUACUAAAAAUACAAAAAUUAGCCAGGUGUGGUGGCACGCACCUGUAAUCCAAGUUACUCAGGAGGCUGAGACAGAAGAAUGGCUUGAACCCAGGUGGCAGAGGUUGCAGUGAACCAAGAUUGUGCCACUGCACUCCAGCCUGGAUGAAAGAGCAAGAGUCCAUCUCAAAAAAAAAAAAAAAAAAAAUUACUUCUCAUAUCCCAACUCAGGAGGGCACACAGCUCAUGUCUGCCUCACUUUCAUUCUGUAAGGGCUAGUGGGUGAGAUGGAUUGCAUCUGUGACAUUAAUUCUUCACCCUGCUCCCCGCAUGCAUGCUGUUGCAUUCCUCUCACUAAAAAGGAGGAAGCCCGUUUCUCCAUCCUUGACACUGGAGUUGCCAAUCAGAUGCAGUGGAAGUGGGGGUGAGUCACUGUGGUGCUGAGACCUGCCUGGUGAGUUUCCACUGGCUACUGUUGUGCUUUGCUAUUGAUAUCAUCCCUACCAUCUCCAUAGGAGUGACAAAAAUUGCAUGCUGGGUUCUGGAGAGAAAUAUAAUUCAGCAUUCAUUAGGCUGCACUCUUACCCAUUUCCUUGUUAUUAAAGUCACAGCACUAGAUACUGACCAUUGCAUUCCUAUCAUUCCUAUAGACAGGAUCUCUGACAUGAGAGUCACAGGCUGUUUAAGAAUUGAUUUGCAUACCCAUUGUUCCUAUAGACAGGAUCUCUGGCAUUAGAAUCAUAAGGCUUUUGUUUAAAGAUCACUUUAGAUGUUUUUCAGGUCCUGAAUUCCAGUGGAAUAGCUGAAGCCCACCAGUUCGAAGAUUCCCAGGGAGGAACCAAAUCGACACAUGAAUACAGCUUCUUUCAUCCCCCUGUCCAAUGACUUCGCCCUGUACUCUUUGACCAAUCAAUGAGCUCCACAUUUUAGCCUACUCCAAAACCCUUAAAAACGCUUACCCCAAAUCCCUCAGAAAUGGACUUGAGGUUUCCUCCUAUCUUGUUGUUUGGUAGCCUACGAUUAAACCUCUUUCUCUGCUGCAACCUGGUGUCUUGGGGUGUUGACUUGCAGAACACAUCUGGCAAUGGAUCUGUUACAGUUAUGCAUUCACCAUGGGAACAUGCCUGCUGGAGAAGGAAAAACGUGUGGAGCAGAGCCAACUCACUCCAGUCUCCUCAACCGGUAGCCAACCAACUCCCAGACUCCUUCCAUGUAAACAUCCACAUACUCUGGGGAAACCUGCUGCCAAAGUAGGAGGAUUCCAAAGGACCUAGAGGAAGAAAAAGCUACAAUAUGGAAGACACCUGAGUUUCUGAAGGACUGUGUGGAGCACUUCCUUCUGCUGAUGAACAUGUGCUAUGAAAAAUAAACUUAUUUUGUUUAGCAACUAAGAUUUCUGAAUUACUUGUUACAGCAGUUAGUAUAUCCUGAUUAACAGACCUCAUCUUUUAUUCCUUUGGGCUUGAAUUUGAUGGCUUACCUGUGCUUUUCUUUGGCUUGACCAAGUAGUAUAGCAGCUGGCUUUCUGCUUGGUCAUUCUUUGCUCAG
rnacentral:lncRNA from 1 species